rnacentral:rRNA from 1 species
CGGGACACGUGGUAUCCUGUCUGAAUAUGGGGGGACCAUCCUCCAAGGCUAAAUACUCCUGACUGACCGAUAGUGAACCAGUACCGUGAGGGAAAGGCGAAAAGAACCCCGGCGAGGGGAGUGAAAAAGAACCUGAAACCGUGUACGUACAAGCAGUGGGAGCCUCUUUAUGGGGUGACUGCGUACCUUUUGUAUAAUGGGUCAGCGACUUAUAUUCUGUAGCAAGGUUAACCGAAUAGGGGAGCCGAAGGGAAACCGAGUCUUAACUGGGCGUUAAGUUGCAGGGUAUAGACCCGAAACCCGGUGAUCUAGCCAUGGGCAGGUUGAAGGUUGGGUAACACUAACUGGAGGACCGAACCGACUAAUGUUGAAAAAUUAGCGGAUGACUUGUGGCUGGGGGUGAAAGGCCAAUCAAACCGGGAGAUAGCUGGUUCUCCCCG